AUGAAUGGUUCGGGCCGUGGGGAAGAGGAAGAUUCCGGCCCCCGGAUCCCUUCGGCAUUUACUGUGUGUUCUUGGCGCUCCCGUUAUCCCACGGCAGGUGCCAGUGGCGAGGCGAGGGUCUACAAAAGAGCUGAGCUAGUCAAUCUAGCCGGAGAUAUAGGAUACCAUGGCAUUAGCGAACAAGUUCCAACAGGCAAGUGCGACGGCAAGGAAGUUUACACUCGAGGAGUACUGGAAAACGGGGAAGAGAUUGCUCUCAAAAAGCUCUAUUGGAGGCCGGAUACUGACGACACGCACUUUAGGAAUGAGUUUAAUAACCUUAUGCGGGUCCAACAUCCAAAUAUUACUCAGUUGGUUGGCUACUGCUACCACCAAGGACAUCACCUCAUUGAGCACCAAGGUGGAUAUAUUUUUCCCCAUGUGGAAGAAAGAGUUCUCUGCUUCGAAUACUUGGAGGGUGGAAGCCUUGACAAGAAAAUUUCUGGUAUGGUGCUACUCUACUCAAACUGUUAUUUUGCAUGUAAAGAAAAAUGA
rnacentral:rRNA from 1 species